ACUCCUACGGGAGGCAGCAGUGGGGAAUAUUGCACAAUGGGAAGGCCAUCGAUGCAGCCAUGCCGCGCUGUGUGAAGAAGGCCAAUUCGGGCUUGGUUAAAGACACAUUUUCAGCGAGGAGGAAAAGGGUGUGUGUUAAUACCAUACAUCUGUGACGUUACUCGCAGAAGAAGCACCGGCUAACUCCGUGCCAGCAGCCGCGGUAAUACGGAGGGUGCGAGCGUUAAUCGGAAUUACUGGGCGUAAAGCGUGCGCAGGCGGUUUGUUAAGCGAGAUGUGAAAGCCCG
rnacentral:rRNA from 1 species